rnacentral:rRNA from 1 species
GACGAACGCUGGCGGCGUGCCUAAUACAUGCAAGUAGAACGCAGUCGCGAAAGGGUGAGUAACGCGUAGGUAACUGCCUGGUAGCGGGGGAUAACAAUUGGAAACGAUAGCUAAUACCGCAUACUACCCGAUGGACCUGCGUUGUAUUAGCUAGUUGGUGAGGUAACGGCUCACCAAGGCAACGAUACAUAGCCGACCUGGUAGGGUGAUCGGCCACACUGGGACUGGGACCCGGCCCAGACUCCUACGGGAGGCAACAGGUGGGAAUCUUCGGCAAUGGGGGGAACCCUGACCGAGCAACGCCGCGGGAGUGAAGAAGGUUUUCGGGUCGUAAAGCUCUGUUGUUAAGGAAGCGGUACUUAACCAGAAAGCGACGGCUAACUACGUGCCAGCAGCCGCGGUAAUAC